CACGUAGGGCGCAAGCGUUGUCCGGAAUUAUUGGGCGUAAAGAGCUCGUAGGCGGUUUGUUACGUCGGCUGUGAAAUCCCGAGGCUCAACCUCGGGUCUGCAGUCGAUACGAGCAAACUAGAGUGUUGCAGGGGAGACUGGAAUUCCUGGUGUAGCGGUGAAAUGCGCAGAUAUCAGGAGGAACACCGGUGGCGAAGGCGGGGUCUCUGGGCAACAACUGACGCUGAGGAGCGAAAGCGUGGGGAGCGAACAGG
rnacentral:rRNA from 1 species